rnacentral:misc_RNA from 1 species
AAGAAUUCCUCCUCAUCAAGCUCCUCUUCCUCAUCUUCAAGAUUAUUAAAAUUCUGGUUCUUGAUGGACUCAGCAUUUGAGUCCCACUUACUAGAAGGCCUACUGCAGCAGAUGUGAAGGGGCUGCUGCUGCUUCUGCAGCAGAAGAUGAGAAGAGAGUGGAUUUAGAGGGUUUAAAGAAAUGGGUUUUUGAGUAAAGAAAAGAAGAGGUGAAGGGCUGGGGUUUAAGGGUAAGUGAAGAUGAAGAAGACCACCAUCACCCCUAUUGAUGGUGGUCUUCA